ensembl:lncRNA
GGGGAGAGAGAGAAUGACAGAGGAAAGGGAAGGGGGAGAGAGAAUGACAGAGGAAAGGGAAGGAGGAGAGAGAGAAUGACAGAGGAAAGGGAAGAGAGAGAGAAUGACAGAGGAAAGGGAAGGAGGAGAGAGAAUGACAGAGGAAAGGGAAGGGGGAGAGAGAAGGACAGAGGAAAGGGAAGAGGGAGAGAGAACGACAGAGGAAAGGGAAGAGGGAGAGAGGGAAUGACAGAGGAACGAAAAGAGGGAGAGAGAGAAUGACAGAGGAAAGGGAAGAGAGAGAGAAUGACAGAGGAAAGGGAAGGGGGAGAGAGAGAACGACAGAGGAAAGGGAAGGGGGAGAGAGAAUGACAGAGGAAAGGGAAGGGGGAGAGAGAACGACAGAGGAAAGGAGGGGGAGAGAGAACGGCAGAGGAAAGGGAAGGGGGAGAGAGAACAGCAGAGGAAAGGGAAGGAGGAGAGAAUGACAGAGGAAAGAGAAGAGAGAGAGAGAAUGACAGAGGAAAGGGAAGGGAGAGAGAAUGACAGAGGAAAGGGAAGGGGGAGAGAGAAUGACAGAGGAAAGGGAAGGAGGAGAGAGAACGACAGAGGAAAGGGAAGGGGGAGAGAGAGAACGACAGGAAGUGGGAGAGAGAACAUCAGAGUAAAGGGAAGGGGGAGAGAGAGAAUGACAGAGGAAAGGGAAGGGGGAGAGAGAAUGACAGAGGAAA